GAUGAACGCUAGCUACAGGCUUAACACAUGCAAGUCGAGGGGAAACGACAUCGAAAGCUUGCUUUUGAUGGGCGUCGACCGGCGCACGGGUGAGUAACGCGUAUCCAACCUGCCCACCACUUGGGGAUAACCUUGCGAAAGUAAGACUAAUACCCGAUGAUAUCUCUAUAAGACAUCUGAAAGGGAUUAAAGAUUUAUCGGUGAUGGAUGGGGAUGCGUCUGAUUAGCUUGUUGGCGGGGUAACGGCCCACCAAGGCAACGAUCAGUAGGGGUUCUGAGAGGAAGGUCCCCCACAUUGGAACUGAGACACGGUCCAAACUCCUACGGGAGCAGCAGUGAGGAAUAUUGGUCAAUGGGCGAGAGCCUGAACCAGCCAAGUAGCGUGCAGGAUGACGGCCCUAUGGGUUGUAAACUGCUUUUAUACGGGAAUAAAGUGGGCCACGCGUGGUCUUUUGCAUGUACCGUAUGAAUAAGGACCGGCUAAUUCCGUG
rnacentral:rRNA from 1 species